rnacentral:rRNA from 1 species
CUACGGGCGGCAGCAGUGGGGAAUAUUGCGCAAUGGGGGAAACCCUGACGCAGCAACGCCGCGUGAGUGAGGAAGGAUUUCGGUUCGUAAAGCUCUGUCAAUGUGGAAAAAUGGCAUUUGGUCCAAUAGGCCAAGUGUUUGAUGGUACACAUAGAGGAAGCACCGGCUAACUUCGUGCCAGCAGCCGCGGUAAUACGAAGGGUGCAAGCGUUGUUCGGAUUUAUUGGGCGUAAAGCGCGCGCAGGCGGAUGAUUAAGUCAGAUGUGAAAUCUCGGGGCUCAACCCCGAAACUGAGUCUGAAACUGCUCAUCUAGAAUCUUGGAGAGGGAAGUGGAAUUUCGGAUGUAGGGGUAAAAUCCGUAGAGAUGCGAAGGAACACCAGAGGCGAAGGCGACUUCCUGGCCAAGUAUUGACGCUGUGGCGCGAAAGCGUGGGGAGCAAACAGGAUUAGAUACCCUCGUAGUC